GACGAACGCUGGCGGCGUGCUUAACACAUGCAAGUCGAACGAUGAAGCUGGAGCUUGCUCCGGUGGAUUAGUGGCGAACGGGUGAGUAACACGUGAGAAAUCUGCCCUUGACUCUGGGAUAACUGCGGGAAACUGUAGCUAAUACCGGAUACUUUCCCUGGUGGGCAUCCACUGGGGAAGAAAGAAUUUCGGUCAAGGAUGAUCUCGCGGCCUAUCAGCUAGUUGGUGAGGUAAUGGCUCACCAAGGCGACGACGGGUAGCCGGCCUGAGAGGGUGACCGGCCACACUGGGACUGAGACACGGCCCAGACUCCUACGGGAGGCAGCAGUGGGGAAUAUUGCACAAUGGGCGCAAGCCUGAUGCAGCAACGCCGCGUGAGGGAUGAAGGCCUUCGGGUUGUAAACCUCUUUUAGCAGGGAAGAAGCGAAAGUGACGGUACCUGCAGAAAAAGCACCGGCUAACUACGUGCCAGCCGCCGCGGUAA
rnacentral:rRNA from 1 species